rnacentral:rRNA from 1 species
CCUACGGGGGGCAGCAGUGAGGAAUAUUGGUCAAUGGGCGCGAGCCUGAACCAGCCAAGUAGCGUGAAGGAUGACUGCCCUAUGGGUUGUAAACUUCUUUUAUAUGGGAAUAAAGUGCAGUAUGUAUACUGCUUUGCAUGUACCUUAUGAAUAAGGAUCGGCUAACUCCGUGCCAGCAGCCGCGGUAAUACGGAGGAUCCGAGCGUUAUCCGGAUUUCUUGGGUUUAAAGGGAGCGUAGAUGGGUUGUUAAGUCAGUUGUGAAAGGUUGCGGCUCAACCGUAAAAUUGCAAUUGAUACUGGCAGCCUUGAGUACAGGUGAGGUCGGCGGAAUUCGUGGUGUAGCGGUGAAAUGCUUAGAUAUCACGAAGAACUCCGAUUGCGAAGGCAGCUUACUAAACUGCCACUGACAUUGAUGCUCGAAAGUGUGGGUAUCAAACAGGAUUAGAUACCCCUGUAGUC